rnacentral:rRNA from 1 species
GGCGUAAACAAAGGGAGGCGAAGCCGCGAGGUGGAGCAAAUCCCAAAAAUAACGUCUCAGUUCGGAUUGUAGUCUGCAACUCGACUACAUGAAGCUGGAAUCGCUAGUAAUCGCGAAUCAGAAUGUCGCGGUGAAUACGUUCCCGGGUCUUGUACACACCGCCCGUCACACCAUGGGAGUCAGCAACGCCCGAAGCCGGUGACCCAACCGAAAGGAGGGAGCCGUCGAAGGUGGGGCCGAUAACUGGGGUGAAGUCGUAACAAGGUAUC